UAUUCAAAGAGUGCGUAACAGCUCACUAGUCGAGGGUCCGGGCAUGGAUAAUAAUCGGGUAUAAGGCAGACACCGAAGGCGCGGGAUAGCAUUUAAGAAAGUAUCGGUAGGGGAGCAUACUCACAGCGUUGAAUGGUGUACGUAAGUUAUCCUGGAGCGGUGAGUAAAGCAAAUGUAGGAAUAAGUAACGAUAAGGAGGGUUAGAUUCCCUCUCGCUGUAAGACCAAGGUUUCCCGGGCAAUGCCAAUCAGCCCGGGGUCAGUCGGGUCCUAAGUCUAAGCCGAUCGGCGAUGGCGAUGGCAGAGACGGUUAAUAUUCCGUCACUGCCGCAUGGGGCGACGUGGAGACGGAGCAGUGAAACCACCGCGGGGCGACGGAAGUCCCCGUUGAAGAGUGUAGGCGUUGAGGAUGGCAGGCAAAUCCACCGUCCGAGCUGAACUUGAGAGUAUGGAGUCUUCUUCGGAAGAAUCCAAUAGUGUGGGUAAUCAUACUCCCGAGAAAAUCCGCUAAGCUUAACCCAUGCGGCACCCGUACCGCAAACGGACACACGUGGUCGGGUAAAACAUACUGAGGCGUUGAGAGAUUCAUGGUUAAGGAACUAGGCAAAUUGACCCUGUAACUUCGGGAUAAAGGGUCCUCGUGAAUAGCGAGGCGCAGAGAAUAGGUCCAGGCAACUGUUUAACAAAAACACAGGGCUGUGCAAACUCGAAAGAUGACGUAUACAGCCUGACACCUGCCCGGUGCCGGAAGGUUAAGAGGAGAUGUCACUCGCAAGAGGAAGCAUUGAAUUGAAGCCCCGGUAAACGGCGGCCGUAACGAUAACGGUCCUAAGGUAGCGAAAUUCCUUGUCGGGUAAGUUCCGACCUGCACGAAUGGUGUAAUGAUCCGGACGCUGUCUCAACCAUGAGCUCAGUGAAAUUGUAGUAUCGGUGAAGAUGCCGAUUACCCGCGAUGGGACGAAAAGACCCCGUGAACCUUUACUACAGCUUAGCAUUGACCUUGGUCAUCCGAUGUGUAGGAUAGGCCGGAGGCUUCGAAGCGGGAGCGCAGCUUUCGUGGAGCCAUCCUUGAAAUACGGCCCUUUGGCUGUCUGAGGUCUAACGCGCGAUGCGCGGACACUGCUUGGUGGGUAGUUUGACUGGGGUGGUCGCCUCCAAAAGCGUAACGGAGGCUUCCAAAGGUGCCCUCGGGUCGAUUGGUAACCGACCUCAAAGAGUGCAAUGGCAUAAGGGCGCUUGACUGGGAGGCAGACAUGCCGAGCAGGCAGGAAACUGGGGCAUAGUGAUCCGGCGGAUGUGUAUGGAAACUCCGUCGCUCAAAGGAUAAAAGGUACUCCGGGGAUAACAGGCUGAUCACCCCCAAGAGCUCAUAUCGACGGGGUGGUUUGGCACCUCGAUGUCGGCUCGUCACAUCCUGGGGCUGGAGAAGGUCCCAAGGGUUGGGCUGUUCGCCCAUUAAAGUGGCACGCGAGCUGGGUUCAGAACGUCGUGAGACAGUUCGGUCUCUAUCUAUCGUGGGCGUGGGAGUUUUGCGUGGUGCCGUCACUAGUACGAGAGGACCGUGAUGGACAGACCUCCGGUUUACCAGUUGUGCCGCCAGGCGCACCGCUGGGUAUCUGAGUCUGGAUUGGAUAAGCGCUGAAAGCAUCUAAGUGCGAAGCCAGCCGCAAGAUGAGAACUCCAUUGAGGGUCGUCAGAGACGAUGACGUUGAUAGGAUGCAGGUGUAAAGACAGCGAUGUCAAAGCCGAGCAUUACUAAUUGCCU
rnacentral:rRNA from 1 species